CUCCCAAAAGCAGGGAGGUGACAGCUGGUGUGUUGUGUGGAUGUGUUUUUUUUGUCCCCUUUUGAGCGUGUGAGAGAUGCUUGGUGGGUUUUGGUUUUGUCUGUCUUCCUGUGGUGUUUCCCUCUCUCUCUCCCUCUUCCUCUCUCCUUCAGGGCGGAGUUGUGGGCCGUGUCUCUGGGAGCUGGGCAUCUUCCUCCAGCUGCAGGCAAUUUACUCUUCACACACCUGUCUCCUGUUGCCAUCCAGACUGGUUUAUAUACCCCGCCAUCUAAUCAGUUCCCUGCCGGAUUAUUAGUUGUGUAAGUCCUUGGAGACCCUGCUCUAUCCCGGAGUCACUCUACCUCGAGGAAUGCCAGCCUGGAAAUCACCCCACCGCCGACGCUCUUCCCAGUCAGCCCUGCACCCGUCCCACCUGGCCUUGUUCUCUCGUGCCCCACCACACCGGAGGAAUCCAACCCCCUCCAUCUAACCAAUCCUUUUUCCUUGUAUUCAAUAAACCGUGUAAAUGCCCUCCUGAA